UCCAGAGAAGGGCACUAAAGUGGAGAAGACAAACACAUCCCAUCUUCACGUGAAGCCAAGAGUCCUUACCUUGAUACAGGAACUUUCAGAUUAUGAAUGGCGUGAUGUCUGAACAUGGAGUAAACACACUAACAGUUAUUUAAGGGGCCACACUCACAGCAUGAAGGUUUAUUUCAGCCCUUUAUCAGUGUAAGAGUGAAAUCACCAGAUCACAUUCAUGCAGAUAGACACAUCUGUUAAAGCAAAGAAGUGGAAUAUUCUCUGAUAGGUUCGGAGCUUGAACCCAUUCGCUGGAACGCUGAAGGCAAUGCUGCACUUGGUGGACCAUCGAAGCCCAAAAAGAAUAAGACCGGUUUCAGCGAUCCAGCUCCAGAGGUAACUCCAGCUGCUGGAACUUCAAAGGUUCAGAGUGCACCCGUCCAGACCGGGAGAAUUGAAAUCAAAUCCGUCUCAGCCAUCAAUAAAAACACUGCUCGGGUUAAGGUGGAGGUGAAGAAGCAGCAGGAGUUCUAUGUGUCAACUCAAAAACUGGCAGAGAUCCUCGGUUAUAACAUGGAGGACGGGGUUGAAGGCAGAAUCAGUCGUGCCAUGCCAAUCUCAGCCGAGGCUAAAAUGCGAGAGGAUCAGAUUGUAGAGAUUAAAGUAUUUUAAGAAGAACUCGUUUGUACAUUUUUCCUGUCUGAAACAAUAAAGCUCAGUUUUUCUGGUCAUGGUUUAAUUUGAAGGUUGGUUUGUGGGGUCAUUCUUCAGAGGCGCCAUCACCUGACCAACCACACGUAAGCUCAGGACAGAAACCGUGUGUCCUAGGGUCAGGGACCAAUAAAGAACGAGCUCUGUGGUGAGUUCAGGUUCCACGGAGGACGUCAGUCUGACGGGGACACUCGUGACAAGGACGAACAGGCUUAAUAUUCUCAGCGAGGUCACGUUGGAGCUCUGACAGGCAUUAAACCCACAGCUCUGGUUCUGCUGUGGCUUUAAUGUCUCACCUGUGCAGGUGAAACAGCUUCACUCAUGACCCAGUGUGUCUGCUGGGGUUUGUUUUUUUUAAGCUAGGUUUGUUACAACGUUUAUUCACAGCUACCUUUAGUUGAUCCCAAGCUCAAAAAACAAUAAUGUGAAACAACCUGUUUAUUUCUACUUGACUUUAUUAAAAAUAUGAAACAUGAGGAAAACAAGCACACACACACACUCUGCAGCAUCGCUGUGUGAAUGACAGUUUCAGACAAACAGUCCAACCAAUCUCACUUUGAAAAACAAAAACCCCAAAACAUCGUUGGUGUUCAUCAACAACAGAAAAAAAAAAUUAAAAAAAAAUGAGUAAGCAGAGAGUUUCACUUCCAAAGACUUUGCAUCCAAUCUGAUAAUAAUCGAGGGAUAAAAACAACCUGAUAUUCACGUUUGAUUUC